GUCGUCUUCAACUCAACCGCAACUCUAGCCAGUCUUCAUUACACCGGAUUUCAGGGUUCCGCUCGUUGAAGGGAUUUCUAGAUAACUUUGAAGGAAGAUUUGGAAUUCUCACUCAUCCAGGUUGGGAAGGUCCUCACUCUCCGAGGGCAAUGCCACUAUCAAGUUUAUGAAUGUUGUUCUUUUUUUAAGACUUCUAGUUCUUUCCUUUUCAUUUGAGUACUAAAUAUGUAGAUCCUAUAUGUGUUUUUAUUACAUUGACGUAUGAGAUAUUCCCAAUUAAUACACACUUGUUUAGAUAGUUAUGA